rnacentral:rRNA from 1 species
GACGAACGCUGGCGGCGUGCCUAAUACAUGCCAGUCGAGCGAAGCGGCGGAUGGGUGAGUAACGCGUGGGUUACCUUCCCUUAAGUCUGUGAUACCAUUUGGAAACUGAUGCUAAUACUGGAUACUAAAGGACGGACCUUCGAUGCAUUAGUUAGUUGGUAAGGUAAUGGCUUACCAGGGCGUUGAUGCAUGGCCGAGUUGCGAGAGUGAUCGGCCACAUUGGGACUGAGACACGGCCCAAACUCCUACGGGAGGCAGCAGGAGGGAAUCUUCCACAAUGGACGAAAGUCUGAUGGAGCAACGCCGCGUGAGUGAAGAAGGUUUUCGGAUCGUAAAGCUCUGUUGUUGGUGAAGCGGUAGUCAACCAGAAAGUCACGGCUAACUACGUGCCAGCAGCCGCGGUAAUUC